AACGCGAAGAACCUUACCAGGUCUUGACAUCCUCUGACAAUCCUAGAGAUAGGACUUUCCCCUUCGGGGGACAGAGUGACAGGUGGUGCAUGGUUGUCGUCAGCUCGUGUCGUGAGAUGUUGGGUUAAGUCCCGCAACGAGCGCAACCCUUGUCCUUAGUUGCCAGCAUUCAGUUGGGCACUCUAAGGAGACUGCCGGUGACAAACCGGAGGAAGGUGGGGAUGACGUCAAAUCAUCAUGCCCCUUAUGACCUGGGCUACACACGUGCUACAAUGGAUGGUACAAAGGGCUGCGAGACCGCGAGGUUUAGCCAAUCCCAUAAAACCAUUCUCAGUUCGGAUUGUAGGCUGCAACUCGCCUACAUGAAGCCGGAAUCGCUAGUAAUCGUGGAUCAGCAUGCCACGGUGAAUACGUUCCCGGGCCUUGUA
rnacentral:rRNA from 1 species